UACAGAGGGUGCGAGCGUUAAUCGGAAUUACUGGGCGUAAAGCGCGCGUAGGCGGCUUGUUAAGUCAAAUGUGAAAUCCCCGAGCUUAACUUGGGCAUUGCAUUCGAUACUGGCAAGCUAGAGUAUGGGAGAGGAAGGUAGAAUUCCAGGUGUAGCGGUGAAAUGCGUAGAGAUCUGGAGGAAUACCGAUGGCGAAGGCAGCCCCCUGGGUCGAUACUGACGCUCAUGCACGAAAGCGUGGGGAGCAAACAGG
rnacentral:rRNA from 1 species